rnacentral:rRNA from 1 species
UACAGAGGUGGCAAGCGUUGUUCGGAAUUACUGGGCGUAAAGGGCGCGUAGGCGGUUCGAUAAGUCCCGUGUGAAAUCCCUCGGCUCAACUGAGGAACUGCACGGGAAACUGACGGGCUUGAGUUCGGGAGAGGGAAGCGGAAUUCCGGGUGUAGCGGUGAAAUGCGUAGAUAUCCGGAGGAGCACCGGUGGCGAAGGCGGCUUCCUGGACCGACACUGACGCUGAGGCGCGAAAGCUAGGGGAGCAAACGGG